rnacentral:rRNA from 1 species
AUACGUAGGUGGCGAGCGUUGUCCGGAAUUACUGGGUGUAAAGGGCGCGUAGGCGGGGGUGCAAGUCAGAUGUGAAAUACCGAGGCUUAACCUCGGGGCUGCAUCUGAAACUGCAUCUCUUGAGUGUCGGAGAGGGAAGUGGAAUUCCUAGUGUAGCGGUGAAAUGCGUAGAGAUUAGGAGGAACACCAGUGGCGAAGGCGACUUUCUGGACGACAACUGACGCUGAGGCGCGAAAGCGUGGGGAGCAAACAGGAUUAGAUACCCUGGUAGUCCACGCUGUAAACGAUGGAUACUAGGUGUAGGGGGUAAUGAUACCUUCUGUGCCGCAGUUAACACAAUAAGUAUCCCACCUGGGGAGUACGGCCGCAAGGUUGAA